rnacentral:rRNA from 1 species
AUUGAACGCUGGCGGCAUGCCUUACACAUGCAAGUCGAACGGUAACAGGUCUUCGGAUGCUGACGAGUGGCGAACUGGUGAGUAAUACAUCGGAACGUGCCUAGUAGUGGGGGAUAACUACUCGAAAGAGUGGCUAAUACCGCAUGAGAUCUACGGAUGAAAGCAGGGGAUCGCAAGACCUUGUGCUACUAGAGCGGCCGAUGGCAGAUUAGGUAGUUGGUGGGAUAAAAGCUUACCAAGCCGACGAUCUGUAGCUGGUCUGAGAGGACGAUCAGCCACACUGGGACUGAGACACGGCCCAGACUCCUACGGGAGGCAGCAGUGGGGAAUUUUGGACAAUGGGCGCAAGCCUGAUCCAGCAAUGCCGCGUGCAGGAUGAAGGCCUUCGGGUUGUAAACUGCUUUUGUACGGAACGAAAAGCCCUGGGUUAAUACCCUGGGGUCAUGACGGUACCGUAAGAAUAAGCACCGGCUAACUACGUG